rnacentral:misc_RNA from 1 species
UGAGUUGAAUUGAGUUGAGUUGAGAUAUUGUCUCCUCUAUGAAUGCGCUAAGAUUGGAAGUGUCAUACUUGAAAGUCACUAUUAAACAAAUCAGACAUAAGGUUGUAGGAAAGAACAAUAAAACUCAAAAUAAUCACAAGAAAUCAUUGAAAAUGGAUACCCCACAAGUGUUCUUGGUGAUCAAAAAGUUUCCACGGAGUUGAAGGGAAAAUUCUACAAGACCAUGAUUCAACAAGCUAUAAUGCAAGACAGUGAAUGUAUGGCUGUUAAAAAACAACAUUUCCAUAAAAUGACCAUCCAGCGAUGAAGAUGCUAAUGGGAAUGAGGCAGGAAAAAGAAAAGGAAACACCAAAAGCCAAACCCAAACCAAUAAAACUGCACCAAAAAUUCAAUUAACCAUCAAAUUCACUUCAGUUUUAGUCAUUCUACUAAAAAUGGUUAAUUGAUCUAAACCAAUACUAUACAUACACAUAUUAACUAUAUAAAAAAUCUGGACUAACAAUAUUAAAUUAAUUAUUGCAAAUAUUUAAUUCUCACUUCAUUUCAGAGUUAUGAAAGGCGCGCCUAAGACAAGAGGUGAUGGAAGCUAGCAGCAGAGCAUCUGGAUCACCAAAAGGCAGGCGACAUUUGGAUGUGCCUUAUGCAUGCAAACCCAAUUAGCCCUAAUAAAGCCAUGAAGCAAGUUGGGAGAGCCAAUGACUGCAAAGAAGAAGAAGCAGAAGAAGAAGUAGCCGAAGCUCUACUGAUGGCUGACAGAAGAGAAGAGCCUGAGAGAGCCUGAGAGAGAAGGAGAAA